CAUGUUUUAGGUGGUGUUUUGGGACGUGGAGCCUUCUUUUGCUGGCGUUCUGUUGUUUCUCUGUGUACUUGAUGCUCGUGGUAUAGCUGUAUAUGACAU